GAAGCUCGCCUGGGAAAGCGCCGAGAAGUAUGGCAAAAAAAGACUGCUGAAGCGAAAGGUAAGCAAAGGCUUGUCUUCACAAUAUUUCUUCACAAUUUUCCAAUAAAGAGUUCGUCAAGACACGUCACGCUCAAGUCAGUAUAACCAGACUGUACUUUAUUGAUAUCAGUUAUCACAGCCACAGGCAAUUUUAUGCUGUCAAAUACCGUCGGUUGCAACUAAAGGUGAACAGUUGCAGAUAAAACAUUCUCUAUUCUCAUUAAAAAGCCUGUAUUAAAGGGUUUCCAGUAGGUCUCUAGCCCAACACGUUUAGACCACACAAAGUUUUUUUUUACUUAUUAUUGCACACAUGGGAAACAACAAUUAAGUGUUGUUGUUCUUGACAAACAUUGGAGAUUCUAAUCACGCAAAUGUUUUUAUGAGCAACUGUUCAUCGUUAGCUGCAAGCGACGGUACAACAUACUAUGAACAUUAUUCCGACUGUGACCGAAUGUGCAACGAUAUAAUUUUCAAAGUUGUUUAUAUCAAUUCCUAAAAUUUGUUUAUAGUAAAACGGCCUGCUCAGCACUCACUACUCACGUUGAUCUGAUUUCAUUUAGAAAUGCAGUUACCGGGAAAGGAACUGAUUCUAAAAUAUGUAAAUUUAAAAGCAUUGGCUAACAAUAAAGCGAUCGGUGAAGACAAGGUACAAACUUUUAUAGUUGCUAUUUGUUAUAAAAUCCUAUAAAUAUACCGAUUCAACAAUAACUUUGCCUCGAAUUUGCAUAUUCUAUGCUGCAUAUUUAUAUUUUAUUUUUAAAAAUAAAAUUGUAAUACUAUGAAAUAAAAUACAUUUCUGUUUAUUCAGCAGUACUUAUUUAAUGUCUUCUUCAUCCAGUGGUCAGAGUAAAUUUCUACUUCUAGCAAGUAAAUAUUUGACAAGCAGUCUGGAAUAAGCACAAGACUUUUAAUGCAUCAGCCAAAUCCAAGUGUGUCCAUCCCCCUCGCCCAGCUAUUUUCCUGUAAAGCACAUCCCGGGGGUUGGGCAUUUCCACUCGAACCUUAGCCCCGGUCAGGCAUUUGAAAUUAAUAAUUUGGAUUCUUGCACUUCACUUGUGGAAUUAAUAUUAGAAUGUUAGGGUUUGUAAUCCAAGUGAGAAUAUAUGCAUGUAUAUAUUUUGGAAUCCAAGUGAGAAUAUUUUGUAAUCCAAGUGAGAAUAUACAAAUGUAUAGUACAUGUAUAUAUUUUGUGUAUAUAUUUUGUAAUCCAAGUGAGAAUAGUUUGUAAUCCAAGUGAGAAUCCUAACAUUCCAAUUUUCCACCAAGUGAAGUGCAAGAAUCCAAAUUAUUGAAGUCCACCUUAUCACAACCCACACACCCGAUUACCUAAAUAUACAUGAACUUACGGUUACAGCUCAACAGCUGGCCUCUGUAGCUCAGUUGGUUAGAGCGCUGCACCGGAAUCGCAGGGCCGUAGGUUCAAUUCCUACCAGAGGACCUCGUGCUGCAUUUUUCGCAGUCGUUCCUGGUUAGGUCUUAAAAUGUGUAUAUGCUCACUUGGAUUACAAACCCUAACAUUCUAAUAUUAAUUCCAACAAGUGAAGUACAAGAAUCCAAAUUAUUGAAGUCCACCUUAUCACAACCCGCACACCUGAUUACCUAGAUAUACAUUUUAUAAAUAUAGGUUUUGCGAUCACUGAUAACUUGAUAAUAAUAUAAAACAAAGCACUUCUAUCUGCAACUUUUACAAUCACUGAUAACUUGAUAAUAAUUUAAACCAGUCAAGUUGUAGUUUAAAUAGAGAAUAAUACAUGGGUGCAUGAAAUACCAGAUUUAUUUCGAGUGUUGAACAUGAGUGUGCAGCGAACAAGUGGGCGCAGCGAACGAGUGAGAUGUCAUCUUCAACACGAAAAAUAAAUCUGGUAUUUCCAACCACCCAUGUAUUUUUCUGUUUAUUAUAUAAAGGACAGUCUUAAAUGAAAAGCGAUAAUUUUUACAGAAAAGCGAUAAUUGAAAAGGCGAUAAUUUUCACAUGUG